rnacentral:rRNA from 1 species
UACGAAGGGGGCUAGCGUUGCUCGGAAUCACUGGGCGUAAAGCGUGCGCAGGCGGUCUGUUAAGACCGAUGUGAAAUCCCCGGGCUUAACCUGGGAACUGCAUUGGUGACUGGCAGGCUUUGAGUGUGGCAGAGGGAGGUAGAAUUCCACGUGUAGCAGUGAAAUGCGUAGAUAUCGGAAGGAACACCAGUGGCGAAAGCGGCUUCCUGGUCCGACACCGACGUCAGGCACGAAAGCGUGGGGAGCAAACAGG